rnacentral:misc_RNA from 1 species
AGCAAGGAGCCACUUCUAUCAUUUUCACAUCUCCCAAGCACCAAUAAGAUUUCAUUUUUCUUCUUCAAAGAAUUUACCAUUCUCCGUAUAUUGAGCUGAAAAUUAAUGCCUGGUAAUUGCUGACUCAAAAAUCAAGCGGGAACAGGUGUGUGCAUUUCUGAGUGAUGUUAAAUCUCCUUGAAGAAUCAGGAUGUUCAUAUACAUUCUCUCAAGGAAUGAAUAGGUGCUAUCUUUUUUUCUUUU